rnacentral:lncRNA from 1 species
AAAAAUUAAAAUUUCAUCCGCCAUCUUAAAAAAUUAUUCUGGCUUCGCCCCUGUUGCUACAUGAUGAGUAGUCAAUAUCCAAUAUAAUGAAACCAUUCAACAAAUAUCCAAAUCCUUAAUAAAUUUGUUCCAAAAACAAAUAUUUAAGAAUAAAUAUAAAAUUCCAUCUUACCUUAGCAGUAAAUAUCACCUACGACGAGGCAAAAAGAAUCAUGUAAUAAAUUUAUAAAAAGAAAAAUAUAAAAAGCAAAUACGGCUUUAGUU